rnacentral:rRNA from 1 species
AAUGCAAGUAUUGCAUAUAGAGUUCUGUUGACCAUCUCUAUGACAGUUGCAUCGAAAAGAAGUUUUUCUAAGUUGAAGCUAUUGAAGUCCUAUAUGCAUACUACUAUGACACAACAAAGACUCAACGAUUUGGCCACAAUAGCACUUGAGAGUGAAGUGUUGGAGAAAAUUGAUUACGAGGAUAUCAUUAAAGAUUUCAUUUCAAGAAUACUAAAAGAAUGA